UACGAAGGGGGCUAGCGUUGCUCGGAAUGACUGGGCGUAAAGGGCGCGUAGGCGGACGGCUUUGUCGGGCGUGAAAUUCCAGGGCUUAACCUUGGGGCUGCGUUCGAGACGGGUUGUCUAGAGUUUGGAAGAGGGUCGUGGAAUUCCCAGUGUAGAGGUGAAAUUCGUAGAUAUUCGGAAGAACACCAGUGGCGAAGGCGACUUACUGGACACAUAUUGACGCUGAGGUGCGAAAGCGUGGGGAGCAAACAGG
rnacentral:rRNA from 1 species